rnacentral:rRNA from 1 species
CAGGUCUUGACAUCCCGUUGACCACUAUAGAAGAUAUGGUUUCCCCUUCGGGGGCAACGGUGACAGGUGGUGCAUGGUUGUCGUCAGCUCGUGUCGUGAGAUGUUGGGUUAAGUCCCGCAACGAGCGCAACCCUUGAUCUUAGUUGCCAUCAUUUAGUUGGGCACUCUAAGGUGACUGCCGGUGACAAACCGGAGGAAGGUGGGGAUGACGUCAAAUCAUCAUGCCCCUUAUGACCUGGGCUACACACGUGCUACAAUGGACGAUACAAACGGUUGCCAACUCGCGAGAGGGAGCUAAUCCGAUAAAGUCGUUCUCAGUUCGGAUUGUAGGCUGCAACUCGCCUACAUGAAGCCGGAAUCGCUAGUAAUCGCGGAUCAGCAUGCCGCGGUGAAUA